GAUGAACGCUGGCGGCGUGCCUAAUACAUGCGAGUCGAGCGAACAGACGAGGAGCUUGCUCCUUCGACGUUAGCGGCGGACGGGUGAGUAACACGUAGGUAACCUACCUAUAAGACUGGGAUAACUUCGGGAAACCGGAGCUAAUACCGGAUAAUAUUUCGAACCGCAUGGUUCGAUAGUGAAAGAUGGCUUUGCUAUCACUUAUAGAUGGACCUGCGCCGUAUUAGCUAGUUGGUAAGGUAACGGCUUACCAAGGCAACGAUACGUAGCCGACCUGAGAGGGUGAUCGGCCACACUGGAACUGAGACACGGUCCAGACUCCUACGGGAGGCAGCAGUAGGGAAUCUUCCGCAAUGGGCGAAAGCCUGACGGAGCAACGCCGCGUGAGUGAUGAAGGUCUUCGGAUCGUAAAACUCUGUUAUUAGGGAAGAACAAACGUGUAAGUAACUGUUCACGUCUUGACGGUACCUAAUCAGAAAGCCACGGCUAACUACGUG
rnacentral:rRNA from 1 species